rnacentral:rRNA from 1 species
UACAGAGGGGGCAAGCGUUGUUCGGAAUUACUGGGCGUAAAGGGCGCGUAGGCGGCCUGCUAAGUCGAACGUGAAAUCCCUGGGCUCAACCCAGGAACUGCGUUCGAUACUGGUUGGCUUGAAUUCGGGAGAGGGAUGCGGAAUUCCUGGUGUAGCGGUGAAAUGCGCAGAUAUCAGGAGGAACACCGAUUGCGAAGGCAGCUCGCUGGGACGUGACUGACGCUGAGACGCGAAAGCGUGGGGAGCAAACAGG